rnacentral:lncRNA from 1 species
AUCGCCAUUCCGAUGGGUUCUUGCAUCAUCAACAAUUUUGAUGAUCUUAUCAUUACUUGCUGUUUCCUCAAGCGUGGUGGAAUGAGUCUUCUAAACGGAGGUUGCUGCUCUUGUUGUUGUUGUUGUUGUUGUUGUUGGAGUUUCAUCAGGCGAGGAGGGAUGUUGGGUGUGUGGUGAUGAUUGUGAGGAGGCUUUUCUCGGAGCAGUUGCUGCUUCAGGAUGCGAGGCGGUUCCAGCUUCAUCGACUUCCUUCUUCCCAUAUUACUACUUCUCUAAGCUUACUCUCUCAGUUUUCUUUCGUUUUUGUGACCAUUGACCUCUCUUG